UCCUUCUCAGAUCCCCAAUCCUCCAUCGGCCCUCUCGACCUCUCCUGCCGGCGAGCGACGCUGUCGGCGGUCCAGGCCAGAUCCGGUGUUGGCUCCCCUCCACAGCUUCUUCUCCUUGCCUCCUGUCUUCCACUCCGGCUUCAAGGUCGCGUGGAUCUGCCUCCCGGCCAGGCCCAACGUCGCGCGGCGCAUCAUCGCAGGGAUUCGUCGCCGUCGCUAGUCGUCCUCGCCGAUGGCCGCGGGCGCCUCGGGCACAGCUGCCUAGGUCACCAUCUAGCCUCCACCAUGCCGGACUCCGACGGGUUUGCGGCAGAUCCGAAGACCCGCGGCUCAGAGUUGUUAGAGAAUACGCAGCCCCGACGGCUACACGCGCCAGCUCUUCUUCCUGACUCCAUCCCCUCACUGGCUCAGUAUCAAGGAGAUUGAGAAGUCAGACAUCUGGAUUUUGGUGUAGAACACUUGUUAUGCUCUGGGUAUGAUGAGUAGUUUAGAGCUCAUUGACUAGUAUUAAGCUCUGCCCCUGCCGUUGCUCUUGGGUCAUUUUGAAGAAUUAUUUACAGCUUCUAGAGAAUCUUAGUUGUUGCUGUCUCACCUGGUUGUAAGCAAAUAAAAACAGUAUUUGUUUUGUGUAAUCUUUCCCAGGCAUAUGAAGUUCCAAGAGCAAGAAACAGUAUAACUGGAGGCAAGAGAAGAACUUCCUGUCAUAUACCAUCAGGAUAGCAAAGCUGAUACAAUUUUUUAAAGCAAUGUUUGUUCAGUUGUGAUCCUUAAGUCCUUCACACUCAUUCUUACUGGUCACGCACUAGAAAUGAUCAUGUCAUCUUAUGUGUCACUUCAUAUGUAUGUACUCCUAUGUCUCUCGUGGAUGCGCCAGAUUGACAAAUAUGUGUGCCCGGGAAGGGUCUAGUUUGACGUGUACUUGAAUAUUUGUGCAACUGAUGGUCUAGCUUGACAUGUACUCAAAUAAUUCCAAUAUUUGUGAUUGGAAUUGUCCAGUCUAA